GUUCAUGCUUUUAUAGUAUGAAAAUUGGGUGAUUUAUAAUAACUUAGCAAAUCGCAAAGUGAAAACAGGCGAUAAAUCAUUCAAGUUUCUGACCUAUCAGCUUUCGACGGUAUGGUAUUGGCUUACCGUGGCAGUGACGGUUAACGGGGGAUUAGGGUUCGAUUCCGGAGAGGGAGCCUGAGAAACGGCUACCACAUCUAAGGAAGGCAGCAGGCGCGCAAAUUACCCAAUUCUAACAGUUUGAGAGAGGUAGUAACAAGAAAUAACAAUACAAGGCAGUUAAAAUGCUUUGUAAUUGGAAUGAUAGAAAUUUAAACCCUUUUUAAAGUAUCAAUUGGAGGGCAAGUCUGGUGCCAGCAGCCGCGGUAAUUCCAGCUCCAAUAGCGUAUAUUAAAAUUGUUGCAGUUAAAAAGCUCGUAGUUGAAGUUCUGCUGAAAGUAACCGGUCUGCUUUUAAUAAAAGUGGUAUCUUGGUAUGUAUUUAGCAAUGAUGUCCUUUGAAGUGUUUUUUACUUUAUUGUAAUAAAGCAUAUUCAGGACUUUUACUUUGAGAAAAUUAGAGUGUUUCUAGCAGGCUAACGCUUUGAAUACUGCAGCAUGGAAUAAUAAG
rnacentral:rRNA from 1 species